UCAUCAUUUCAAGGCACUGUCCAUGGGAGUCUAUGAUGGCAUAACUCCUAUGACCAUUUGGAGAGUUUCAAGGCCCUUAUAUUGUUGCAAGGGGCCUCAGACAUGCUAUUUGGUAAGUCCUUCCCUACCACUUUUCAAGGUGCUACUCAAGCCUCAUACACAAGGCUCCCACCAAGCUCUAUCCAUUCCUUUAAAGAGUUUGGCUGUCAAUUCGCUGCUCAGUUUUAGAGUAGCCGA
rnacentral:lncRNA from 1 species